GUCUACAAUAUCUAUAUGAUUAAUUAUUAUUCUUUUCUAUUUUAAGUUUUCACCAAGAGUGAACAAAGGCUUCAAUGUGGAAAAUUAAGGGGAAACUGUAAUUCUAAUGAUUCACAAGGGAAUAAGGGAUAUUUACUGUCAACAAUGAAGUGUAUACAAUUAAUGUAUCCAACCAUGGAAGAAAAACAAAAUAUUUCACCUAUGAUAAUUUAGAAAUAUCCCUUCCUUGCUGACUCAAUUGUGGUGGAACAGGUUCAUGGAUCAUAACAAGGCCAAGGGUAGAAACAAUUUAAGAAAAAUAUCCUGCACUCCAGCUUAUUACAGAGGUAAAAGCUGAAUUUUAAGGAGUAAACUACAAGUUGAUCCAUGAUAUGGUUGGCAAAUUUCAAUCCAUUGAUUCAGAAAAAUGUUUUGGACUAUGCCAAGAAAUGUAACAAGAAAACUACAUUGGUUCUUAUAAACAGAGUAAAGAGAGCAAUUGCUGGGAAAUCAGACAUCAAGAGCACAGUUGCUUAGAUUUUGAAGGAGCUAUUGAAGGAGAAUGCAGGAGAAUCUCAGUCUCUCUU